rnacentral:rRNA from 1 species
GACGAACGCUGGCGGCGUGCUUAACACAUGCAAGUCGAACGGAAAGGCCCUGCUUUUGUGGGGUGCUCGAGUGGCGAACGUGUGAGUAACACGUGAGUAACCUGCCCUUUACUUUGGGAUAACUUCAGGAAACUGGGUCUAAUACCGGAUAUGAGCUCCUGCUGCAUGGUGGGGGUUGGAAAGUUUCGGCGGUUGGGGAUGGACUCGCGGCUUAUCAGCUUGUUGGUGGGGUAGUGGCUUACCAAGGCUUUGAAGGGUAGCCGGCCUGAGAGGGUGACCGGACAAAGUGGGACUGAGAUACGGCACAGACUCGUACGGGAGGCAGCAGUGGGGAAUAUUGCACAAUGGGAGGAAGCCUGAUGAAGAAACGCCGCGUGCGGGAUGACGGCCUUCGGGUUGUAAACAGCUUUCGAAUGUGAAGAAGAGUGAGUGACGGUAAUGGGUAAAGAAGCACCGGCUAACUACGUG